UCUGCUUCAUGAGUUCUGUUCAGCACAGAAAGCCAUCACAACUCACGUAGCAUGCCCACUUGCAAUCAGUAAAGGUUCAAGAACGGUCAGGAUGAUGUUUUCGGUCAGCCUUCUCUGCAUUGCGGUUUCGUCAGCAGUAUGCGCCCAGCGGUACGCGGGGUUCCUGGCACCAGCGGUGGGACGCCCCGAAUACGAUCCACCCGUCGUGCAUCCAUAUGGACAAAAGGGGACAGGUCGCUUGCCGCACAAAAGGGACCCCAUUCCGUUUGAUCUACCAGUCCGAUGCGACUUCCACGAUGAUUCCGAAGCCCGACAAGAUUAUUGCAUACUCGUCUGCCGUCUCCAUUACUACCGUGGAGGCUACUGCACGGGAUACAAAUGCGAAUGUAUCUAGAUAUAAAAGACCAUAUGUAAAAGCCACACGGCUCGUGCUCUUGAAGCCCAUGUACUCAUAUGUCUUUUCUUGAGUAAAACCUAUUCAGCAAGUGUCACUGUACACGAC